rnacentral:rRNA from 1 species
AACGAACGCUGGCGGCAUGCCUAACACAUGCAAGUCGAACGGAACGUCCGGGUUUAGGGGCGGACGGGGGGGUAAGGCGGGGGAACCUGCCCUUGGGUUCGGAAUAACUCCCCGAAAGGGGUGCUAAUACCGGUUAAUGUCUUCGGACCAACGAUUUAUCGCCUUUGGAUGGGCGCGCGUUGGAUUAGCUGGUUGGUAGGGUACAAGCAUACCAAGGCGACGAUCCAGAGCUGGUCUGAGAGGAUGAUCAGCCACAAUGGGACUGAGACACGGCCCAGACUCCUACGCAAGGCAGCAGUGGGUUAUAUUGGACAAUGGGCGAUAGCCUGAUCCAGCAAUGCCGCGUGAGUGAUGAAGGCCUUAGUGUUGUAAAGCUCUUUUACACGGGACGAUAAUGACAGUACCGGGAGAAUAAGCUCCGGCUAACUCCGUG